GAAAGUCUGACCGAGCAACGCCGCGUGAGUGAAGAAGGUUUUCGGAUCGUAAAACUCUGUUGUUAGAGAAGAACAAGGAUGAGAGUAAAACGUUCAUCCCUUGACGGUAUCUAACCAGAAAGCCACGGCUAACUACGUGCCAGCAGCCGCGGUAAU
rnacentral:rRNA from 1 species